CUGACUACGCGUGGGUUGACACAGAUUCUGACUGAGAGUCACAGCCUCAGAGGCAACGUAAACAAGCGUUAUAUUUCUCUAUAAACGAUGGUGUCUGUACUGCCUUACCACUUCGAGCUCGAUCCAGAGAGUUCAGAAGGCCGUUACGAUAUAAACGAUCUCCGUCAAUGAAUGCGAUUGGAUUUAACUUUUUUAGGUGUCCUUAGCUCUGCCAGAAUGCUAAACGAAGACGAAAAUGUGUUGCAAAGACAUCCAAAAGGUUUUAAGGAGAAUGCAACAGGUUCCAGGGCCUCUUACCUGCGUGAUUCAUCAUCCAGAUAUGCUUGGAGCUUCCUGAUUGGAAUGUUGGCUUCCGACGACCCCUGCACUGAAGAUGGCAUGCAAUCACGUCCUCCUUUGAAGGUUUCUCAAACUGUGAUGCCAGGUCCAUUGGAAUCGGGGUUUCCUUCAGCUUAUCUUCAAAUACCUCAUCAAACACAAGCCUGAUCACAUCAUCCACAUAACUGUAGAAAUAUUGCAGUCAAUAAAUCUUUUGUUUUGAUCAUUUAUUUCCCUGCUUCAUACAUUAAGUUUUUAAUUAUGAAUGUAUUUGAAAUAAAACAUUACUGCUUA